rnacentral:tRNA from 1 species
GGCUCUGUGGUGAAUAUAUCACUCUGAAUUGCAAAUUCAGCGAAGCAGCUUUAAUUCUGCCGGGGCUU